rnacentral:rRNA from 1 species
UACCAGCUCUCCGAGUGGUAGGGAUGCUUAUUGGGCUUAAAGCGUCCGUAGCUGGCCCUUCAAGUCUCUCGUUAAAUCCAGCGAUUCAAUCGUUGGACUGCGGGAGAUACUGUUAGGCUUGGGGGCGGGAGAAGCCGACGGUAUUUCCGGUGUAGGGGUAAAAUCCUAUAAUCCCGGGAGGACCACCAGUGGCGUAGGCGGUCGGCUAGCACGCGCCCGACGGUGAGGGACGAAAGCUGGGGGAGCAAACCGGAUUAGAUACCCGGGUAGUCCCAGCUGUAAACGAUGCGGGCUAGGUGUUGGAGCGGUCACGAGCCGCUUCAGUGCCGCAGGGAAGCCAUUAAGCCCGCCGCCUGGGGAGUACGGCCGCAAGGCUGAAACUUAAAGGAAUUGGCGGGGGAGCACCACAAGGGGUGAAGCUUGCGGUUUAAUUGGAGUCAACGCCGGGAACCUUACCGGGGGCGACAGCAGAAUGAAAGCCAGAUUGAAGGUCUUGCUGGACGAGCUGAGAGGAGGUGCAUGGCCGUCGCCAGUUCGUGCCGUGAGGUGUCCUGUUAAGUCAGGCAACGAUCGAGACCCGCACCCCCUGUUGCCACCGAGGAGUUCUUCUAAGGGGCACUCUGGGGGGACUGCCAACGAUAAGUUGGAGGAAGGAGUGGGCUACGGCAGGUCAGUAUGCCCCGAAUCCUCCGGGCCACACGCGAGCUGCAAUGGUUGGGACAGUGGGUUCCGACCUCGAGAGGGGAAGGUAAUCCCGAAACCCAGCCUCAGUUGGGAUCGAGGGCUGAAACCCGCCCUCGUGAACAUGGAAUCCCUAGUAAUCGCGCGUCAUCAGCGCGCGGUGAAUACGUCCCUGCUCCU